rnacentral:sRNA from 1 species
AUUCUCAUUUGAGUCACGUAGGAUUCCUAAAAAUACACUUGCAUAUGUUCAUACCAAAAAAA